AAAGGAAUCUCCCUUUGGUCAGCUGUGUCUCCUCCCAGCUUCUUCUCAACCUGCAGCUUCUUUGAGGCUGGGAAAAGAGAGCCUUGAGGCUGUGCAGGUGCUGCUCAGCAACAGCAGAAAGGCUGGUUUGGUUACCAGUCCAUAGCACAGCACCGGGAGCUGAUAGGAAGAAAAUGAAUCGCAUCUCAUCUGGUCCCAGGAACUCACAUAUUAAAUUGUACGGAAGCUGGGAAGAGACCAGUGAUGUUCGCUGCCAGCUUAAGAAUGAGAACAUUUACUGGCUCUACCACUAAUGCUGAAGGAAAAGAAUGAUGUCUGAAGAGAGGAGAGAAAAGGAUCACUUUUUAUAAAAUGAAGUUAAAAGACUGGAAUUCAGCAAGAAAAUUUGGAGAGCCCAUUCUCCGCUGUGCUGAGAAGGAAGAGGAAAACAGAACUAGGGAACACAGAAUCACUUAAAAUUGAGCUUGCUAUAACCAAGCGAGCUUGUAUUUCUGCACAAGUUAUUUGCCAAGACCUGCUAGGUCAGUUGUAAAUGCUUGUGCUUACUCCACCAGCAUGUCCUCAUCCAGGAGGGAGUAAAAGAUUGUGAUUGCUUCCAAACGGAAAUAAACAUUGACACCUC